UACGAAGGGGGCUAGCGUUGUUCGGAUUUACUGGGCGUAAAGCGCACGUAGGCGGAUUGUUAAGUCAGGGGUGAAAUCCCGGAGCUCAACUCCGGAACUGCCUUUGAUACUGGCAAUCUAGAGUCCGGAAGAGGUGAGUGGAACUCCUAGUGUAGAGGUGGAAUUCGUAGAUAUUAGGAAGAACACCAGUGGCGAAGGCAGCGAACUGGCGCUUUAUUGACGCUCAGGCACGAAAGCAUGGGGAUCAAACAGG
rnacentral:rRNA from 1 species